rnacentral:rRNA from 1 species
UAGCGAAAGGUUAGCUAAUACCGCAUACGAUCUUCGAGUGGCAUCAUUUGAAGAUGAAAGCAGCAAUGCGCUAAGAGACGGGACUGCGUCCCAUUAGUUAGUUGUGGGGUAAUGGCCUACCAAGACCGCGAUGGGUAGCUGGCUGAGAGAGCGACCAGCCACACUGGAACUGAGACACGGUCCAGACUCCUACGGGAGGCAGCAGUGAGGAAUUUUCCGCAAUGGGGGCAACCCUGACGGAGCGACGCCGCGUGUGGGAAGAAGGCCUUCGGGUCGUAAACCACUGUCGAAGGGGACGAUAUUGACGGUACCCUUGGAGGAAGCCCCGGCUAACUACGUGC